UGCAUCGGCUGGGAAUCGAACCCUGGCCGCCCGCGUGGCUGGCGAGCAUUCUACCACUGAACCACCGAUGC
rnacentral:tRNA from 1 species